AUUGAACGCUGGCGGCAUGCCUUACACAUGCAAGUCGAACGGUAACGGGCCUUCGGGUGCCGACGAGUGGCGAACGGGUGAGUAAUGCAUCGGAACGUACCUUUCAGUGGGGGAUAACGUAGCGAAAGUUACGCUAAUACCGCAUAUUCUGUGCGCAGGAAAGCAGGGGAUCGCAAGACCUUGCGCUGAUUGAGCGGCCGAUGUCAGAUUAGCUAGUUGGGGAGGUAAAGGCUCACAAAGGAGACGAUCUGUAGCGGGUCUGAGAGGAUGAUCCGCCACACUGGAACUGAGACACGGUCCAGACUCCUACGGGAGGCAGCAGUGGGGAAUUUUGGACAAUGGGGGCAACCCUGAUCCAGUCAUGCCGCGUGAGUGAAGAAGGCCUUCGGGUUGUAAAGCUCUUUCGGCCGGGAAGAAAUCGCAUGGGUUAAUACCCUGUGCGGAUGACGGUACCGGCAUAAGAAGCACCGGCUAACUACGUGCCAGCAGCCGCCGUAACAC
rnacentral:rRNA from 1 species